CACCACGAGGGUGCAUUAUAGAUCUGCUAACUCUUUUAUCCGGAAAUAGUACCCGGCCCCCUCU
rnacentral:tRNA from 1 species